CCAGCCCCUAACACAUCUUAAAAAAAAAGAAUAAAAUACUAUAUCUUGGACUGGAGAGGUAGCUCAGUAUUUAAGAGUUUGUAUUACUCUUCCAGAAGGACCUGGAUUUGGUUUUCAGCACCUACCUCAUGGGGUUUACAUUAGCCUGUAACUCUAGGUCCAGGGAUCUGAUGCCUUUGGCUUCUGUAAGUAACUCAUACCCCCAUACAGAAACACAUGAUUAAAAAUAAAAUUAUCUUAAAAAGUCUUAUCCUUUACUAAAAUCUAAAAAUUUUAUCUGCCCUCAUUGUUGGACUUCCACUAGCCCUUGUCCUCAUUUUUUUUUAAAGAUUUAUUUUUAUUUUGUGUAUAUGAAUGUUUGCCUACAUGUAUCUGUAUGUGUACCAUAUGCAUGUCUAGUGCUUCUGAAGUCUGAAGAGAGCCUUGGAUUCCUUGGAACUGGAGUUAGAGAUUGUAGUGUGCUACCUACUAGUGUGGGUCCUAGAAACUGAAGCUAUCCUAUGUAAAUGCUCUAAAUUCCUCUGCCAUCUCUACAGCCUUCUCUUUGUCUUUUAAAUAAGUCUUUUAACACCUUUUAAUGCUAUUGUUUCCUCAUUUGUAAAACAGGAUAAUAGUCACCCCAUGGAUUUGAGUUUCGCCUGUAAAAUGCACUGUUCAUCAGUUAAGUCAUCUGGAACUCUUGUGCUGAAGUGAUCUACCCAUCUCAGCUUUCAAAAGUAGCUAAGACAUAUACUACUACAUUUGGUUCCAGUGCAUUUUUUUUUGAAUUAAAGAAUUUCAAGUUUAACAUGGAUACAUUUGGAGGAGAAAAUGUAUUAGAGCAGUAUUUGUAGUCUUGUGUGGUGAAGAAUAUUUGCCUCUUUAUUACUAUACCCUGAAAAAUGUAUAUGACAAGGUGCUCUUCUGUUGAACAUGGGCAUCAAGCAGUAACUGAAGGGAAAAAAAAAA
rnacentral:sRNA from 1 species